rnacentral:rRNA from 1 species
GUGCCAGCAGCCGCGGUAAUACGUAGGGUGCGAGCGUUAAUCGGAAUUACUGGGCGUAAAGCGUGCGCAGGCGGUUUUUUAAGCCAGAUGUGAAAUCCCCGGGCUCAACCUGGGAACUGCAUUUGGAACUGGAAGACUAGAGUGUAGCAGAGGGGGGUAGAAUUCCACGUGUAGCAGUGAAAUGCGUAGAUAUGUGGAGGAAUACCAAUGGCGAAGGCAGCCCCCUGGGUUAACACUGACGCUCAUGCACGAAAGCGUGGGGAGCAAACAGGAUUAGAUACCCUGGUAGUCC